rnacentral:lncRNA from 1 species
ACCCCGUCGGUGCGUAUCCACCGGCGCUGAGGCGCCGCGGGCCUGCGCCGCGUCAGCGCAUAGAUCACGCCGCCGAUGGCGACAAUAGCCAGCACCACGCCCGCCACGAUGAGCCACGUGCGAUGCCCGCGGGGCGCCGCGCUCUCGGCCAACAGUUGGCUCUGGAUCUGGGCGUUGAGCGCCUCCUGUGCGGUCGCCAUCGUUGUUGGUCUCGCCUGUAGCCUCCUUGUCAGCGCAGACGAUUCACAGAGAUCACGUUGGUCCUCUGUCUUUUGAGGCGGCCAGCGAUUUUAUCGGUUUCUUUUUUUUGUUUCUUUCUUUGUCGGUCGUGUCUGUGCGGC